UCUUUGAUGGUCUAACGGUCAUGAUUUCCGCUUGUCACCAGAUCUACACUUCAUGUGUGGUUCUCGACAAGUCGCGGGAGAUCGGGGUUCGACUCCCCGUCAGAGAG